rnacentral:rRNA from 1 species
CCUACGGGCGGCAGCAGUAGGGAAUAUUGCUCAAUGGGGGAAACCCUGAUGCAGCAACGCCGCGUGGGUGAUGAAGGUUUUCGGAUUGUAAACCCCUUUUGUUAGAGAAGAUAAUGACGGUAUCUAACGAAUAAGCACCGGCUAACUCCGUGCCAGCAGCCGCGGUAAUACGGAGGGUGCAAGCGUUACCCGGAUUCACUGGGCGUAAAGAGCGCGCAGACGGGAUAGCAAGGCAGAUGUGAAAUCCUAGGGCUUAACCAUAGAACUGCAUUUGAAACUGUGAUUCUAGAGUUUGGGAGAGGUAGGUGGAAUUCUUGGUGUAGGGGUAAAAUCCGUAGAGAUCAGGAGGAAUACU